AAUAUUGCCGUUUAAAAAAACAGCAGAGAAAGCGCUCCUACCGUUAAAAAAGCAACCCGCUCAUGGCUUUCCCUUCCUAUCUAUUCUCUGUUCCUGCAAGUGAGGGCUUCUCCAAGAGUGAUGGCGCCCCAUGCUUCAAGAUUUCCUCUGUUUAAUUUGCCUGUUUGUUUCCUGCCAAUCCUCUCGCCCACCUGGACAAGCCCUUCUCGUGGAUUGGCGAUGGCGACUUCCACUGAAUCAUCUGCGGAGGAAUGUUUUCCGACAGUGAUGAUUCCGCAGUGUGAUUUUCUCAACAGAAUGCGCCAUGCUUCAAGAUUUCGUCAUCAAAAUGCGCAAUGCUCAGUGUGAUUUCCGAUGUCCGCAUCUGCUCUGACGCCGCACAGCUCAUCUGCGGAGGAUUGUUGGCUGAUUUGGGAAAAGAAGAACCAGUACAUAUAUUAGCUUAUUAUGGUAGCUGUGGAGCAGCAAAAUUGCAGAGAUAGAAGAAUGCUUAGCCAAUAUAAGAGAGGGCAGAAACCAUGUUACUGAAGCUUAAAUUUCUGGGGAUGGUGUAGCUCCAGGAAGACUGCAAUAAUGUAGGCAGCAGUGAUGACAAGGAGGAGGAGGUGAAAUGAAGCAGUACUAAACAUCACAAGCACCGGGUAAUACAACAGUAUUAAAGAUAAGGAUGAUGAUGAGGAAAUAGCCAACAAACUAUGGAAAGCUAUAAAAGUCUGCUUAUCUGAAGUCUCAAAUAAACAAGGAAUGUUGCAAGUCGCACAUACUCGAUGCCUGGACAGAGGGGUGCCAGCAACCUUGGAAGCUGCUCUCAAAUAUGGUAUUAGAGUAAUUCCAGGCUUUGAAAUCAGCACAAUUCUUACAUCAAGGUUAGCCAAUUUCUUACUUGUCUAUAUCUAGGCAUAUGUCUCAAGAUUACAUAUUAGUUGAAGCUUUAUAUUUCUCUCCCCUACCAUAUUAGUUGAAGCUUUAGAUGUCAGUUUUAUUUCACCAGAGAACUAUUAGUGGAAUUAAAUCCUUGCAACGAACAAGAAAAGUUAUUGUGAGCAAUAAACUCUUUGUAUGAGAGUGGGGACCAAAUUUUGUAUCAUAUUUGAUCACAUAAACCGUUUUAUCUGGUCACAUGGUGUAUGUACAUUUGAGCUCUUUUUAUGGAUCAAGUUAUUGGAUCAUUUUUCUUGUUCACCUGGCUUGGUUACUCCGUUAGAAAGGAAAGCACCGAGAGUCAGACAAUUUUUGAACUCUUUCUACUUUUUUGUUUUUUAUUUUUAUAACUUCAAAAUAAAUAAAGCUGGGGCAUUGAUAUCUAGAAGUCAAAAAUCUGCUUUGAGGCUAAAAUUUAUUUAGCUUGAGAUGUUAUUUUGUCUAAAUUUUUGUACUAAGAGGACUGAUUCUGGAAAAGGAGAACCAGUAUAUAUUAGCUUAUUACAGUACCAGCAAAAUUUGCAGAGAUAGAAGAAUGCUUAGUCAAUAUUAGAGAGGGCAGCAACCAUGUUACUGAAGCUUAAAGCUCUGAAGAUUGAAGCAUGUGUUAAAUGCAUUGUUGCAGAUGGCGUAGCUUCAGGAAGACUGCAAUUGUUGAGGCUUCACAUUCAGUAACUUAACGAAUGUUAAGAAAGUUUUGUUUACAUCACAUUCUAUUUUGUUGACUUCUUUAACUAUAAUUCUAUAUUUUUUUUUAUCUUUCUUUGCUGUCAUUCUAUUUCUGUUUGGCAUGGCCAUGCCUUUUCUGUUUUUAUUUGUCUGUUGAGUUCUACUUUGAUAUGUUUGUUAUGUGUUUUUCUUUUGUAUUUUUAUUGUAGAUUGUUUUUAAAAAAGUUUUAUUGUUAUUUUGUAUUUUGUCUUUUUGGUGGGUGAUGAUUUGUCAGGCAACAGUGACGACAAAGGAGGAAGAGAAAAGAAGCAGAUCUAAACUAAUUCCUCUUUAAAAUUGAGUUGAGGAAUUAGUAAUUUUAAAGAGGAUUGUGUAAACUAAUUCCUCAACUCAAAUUUGAAAAUCAUUGCAAAAUACGACAUAAUAAUUCUCUACAGCAAUAGCUCAUGUCAUGGCUAGAAAAACCAACUGCCGACAUGUUUGGAUUUAUGGAUGCAACAUAUAGCUGGGCAAUGCUUAUAGUUUCUUGUAUUUUAUUUUAUUCUUGUGUCUUAUUUAUGUGGCUUAGUUAUAAGGGUUAAACCUACUUCCAAUGAAACACUAUGGUAGGACUCUUGUUGCAUGCUUAUAGUUCCCUGCAUUUAUUUUAUUUUGUUCGUGUCUUAUUUAUGUGACUUAAUUAUAAGGGUUAAAGCUCAUCUCCAAUGCAGCACUAUGGUAGGACGCUUGUUGCGGUAUUGUGCUAAGCAGCAGAGUGUCUUUGUGCCAUUGUUGAUCACUUGUAAUUCCCUUGGCUUUCCCAUUAAUCAAAAAUGGGAUUUCACCUUACUUGGUGCUUGCGAAGUUACCACCCAUUUGUAGUUGUAGUAAAACUAGUUUAUAAUAAUUUUUUAAGUAAUAAAUCAACCCAAUUAAUAUUCUUUGUGAUUCUCGGAGAGGAGCCACAUACUGAUCGAGUGUGUGCAACACUGGAUAAUGUCUGGAUCCAAUCGAUGUGCUAGAGGCAAUUGGCAUUCUUUGAUUACUAUAUUCAUAAACCUUUGCCUUGUCUAUAGAGUGAUAUCUAGAGUGCAGAGGGAUGUCUAGAGUUUCUCAAUUGUUAUUGCAGUCAAUGCAAAGCAAAUUAUAAUUUUAUUAUAGCACUUUUGAAUUAUUUGCUGAAAUCGUUCAACUUAUUUGUAAAUCGAGAUGUGCAGUCAAUGCAAAGCAAAUUUUAAUUUUAUUGUAGCACUUUUGAAUUAUUUGCAGAAAUCGUUCAACUUAUUUGUAAAUCGAGAUGUAAAUGAAAUUUGUUUAAUAAAAAUAAUUUAUUUUGGAGGGGUUGAAUUGGCCUCCUCCUC